rnacentral:tRNA from 1 species
GCCGGCGUGGCUCAGUUGGUAGAGCAGGGCUUUCGUAAAGCUCAGGUCGGUGGUUCGAAUCCACUCGCCGGCUCCA